CCUACGGGAGGCAGCAGUGGGGAAUAUUGCUCAAUGGGCGGAACGCUGAUCCAGCGACGCCGCGUGAGUGAAGAAGCGUUUCGGCGCGUAAAGCCCUAUCGGCAAGGAAGAAAAUGACGGUACCUGACCAGGAAGCCCCGUCUAACUACGUGCCAGCAGCCGAGGUAACACGGAGGGGGCAAGCGUUAUCCGGAUUUACUGGGUGUAAAGGGGGCGUAGACGGCAUGGCAAGUCAGGAGUGAAAGCCCCGGGCCUAAACCCGGGACGGCUGUUGAAACUGCGUUGCUGGAGUGCAGGAAGGGUAGGCGGAAUUCGUGGUGUAGCGGUGAAAUGCGUAGAUAUUAGGAGGAACACCGGUGGCGAAGGCGGCCUGCUGGACUGUGACUGACGUUGAGGCGCGAAGGCGUGGGGAGCAAACAGGAUUAGAUACCCCAGUAGUC
rnacentral:rRNA from 1 species